rnacentral:misc_RNA from 1 species
AAGUCGUAACAAGGUUUCCGUAGGUGAACCUGCGGAAGGAUCAUUAUCACGUUAUCCACGUAUAAACCAUCGUGAACCGUUAUCGCCUCCGAUAGCACAGCGUAGUAAGCUCAGCCGAGAUUUUAUUUUUCCUUUCGGGAAUGAUGAUUUAUCUGCACCUGCCGCCGCUUAUUAUGGCUUAUCCAUUGCUGAUGAGAACCCAUGGGAGUCUGACCCAGAAAGUCAGUCGAAGCAGAGCUCAUCAUUGUCGCUACGGAGUGUAUUUUCACCUCAUUUACCAUUUUAACCAAACUUUUAACCUUUUAAACUAAUUUUUAUUUUAUACUCUUCGGAGAUAAAAUUCAUUACGAAACAAAGAACAACUCUUAGCAACGGAUAUCUUGGUUCUC